rnacentral:rRNA from 1 species
AUUGAACGCUGGCGGCAUGCUUUACACAUGCAAGUCGAACGGUAACAGGCCGCAAGGUGCUGACGAGUGGCGAACGGGUGAGUAAUGCAUCGGAACGUGCCCAGUCGUGGGGGAUAACGCAGCGAAAGCUGCGCUAAUACCGCAUACGAUCUAUGGAUGAAAGCGGGGGACCGAAAGCCCUCGCGCGAUUGGAGCGGCCGAUGUCGGAUUAGGUAGUUGGUGGGGCAAAGGCCCACCAAGCCAACGAUAUGUAGCUGGUCUGAGAGGACGACCAGCCCAAAUGGGACUGGGACACGGCCCAGACUCCUACGGGAGGCAGCAUUGGGGAAUUUUGGACAAUGGGCGCAAGCCUGAUCCAGCAAUGCCGCGUGCAGGAAGAAGGCCUUCGGGUUGUAACUGCUUUUGUACGGAACGAAACGGUCCGGGUUAAUACCCUGGGCUAAUGACGGUACCGUAAGAAUAAGCACCGGCUAACUACGUGCCAGCAGCCGCCGUAAGAC